CUAAUACUGAGGAGUCCCACAACAAGACGAAACGACCGUCUAG
rnacentral:hammerhead_ribozyme from 1 species